rnacentral:rRNA from 1 species
UCGGGAAUUUUGGGCAAUGGGCGAAAGCCUGACCCAGCAACGCCGCGUGAAGGAUGAAGUAUUUCGGUAUGUAAACUUCGAAAGAAUAGGAAGAAUAAAUGACGGUACUAUUUAUAAGGUCCGGCUAACUACGUGCCAGCAGCCGCGGUAAUACGUAGGGACCAAGCGUUGUUCGGAUUUACUGGGCGUAAAGGGCGCGUAGGCGCAAUUCAAGUCAUCUGUGAAAUCUCCGGGCUUAACUCGGAACGGUCAGAUGAUACUGCUUUGCUAGAGUGCAGAAGGGGCAAUCGGAAUUCUUGGCGUAGCGGUGAAAUGCGUAGAUAUCAAGAGGAACACCUGAGGUGAAGACGGGUUGCUGGGCUGACACUGACGCUGAGGCGCGAA